rnacentral:rRNA from 1 species
GACGAACGCUGGCGGCAUGCCUAACACAUGCAAGUCGAACGGGGAUAGCAAUAUCCUAGUGGCGAACGGGUGAGUAACGCGUGAGUAACCUGCCUCAUACAACGGGAUACCCGAGGGAAACUUCGGUUAAUACGGUAUAAGACCACACUACCGCAUGGUAGAGGGGUAAAAGGGGCAACCUGGUAUGAGAUGGACUCGCGUCGCAUUAGCUAGUUGGUGAGGUAACGGCCCACCAAGGCGACGAUGCGUAGCCGACCUGAGAGGGUGAUCGGCCACAUUGGGACUGAGAUACGGCCCAG